AAGUCGUAACAAGGUUUCCGUAGGUGAACCUGCGGAAGGAUCAUUAACGAGUAAACAAGGGAGUUGUAGCUGGCCGCAAGGCAUGUGCACGCUCUCUACUCAAUCCAACCUUACACCUGUGCACCUAUUGUAGGUCGAGUGGCUGGACUUGUUCUGGUCGCUCUUCCUAUGUUUUACACAUACACUUGUAGUCUCAGAAUGUAAUCCGCGUAUAACGCAUUAUAAAACAACUUUCAACAACGGAUCUCUUGGCUCUC
rnacentral:misc_RNA from 1 species